AAGGAUGUGGUGAAAUUUGGUAAACACAGCGGACUUAAAAUCCGUAAACUUUAAAAAAGUUUUGAGGGUUCGAGUC